AAAAGACUUAGUCCUAACCUUACCGUUAAUUCUUGCUAAACAUAUACAUGCAAGUAUCCGCGCCCCAGUGUAAAUGCCCCUAGCCUCUUACCAAGUUGAAGGGAGCAGGCAUCAGGCACACCCACGAUUGUAGCCCAAGACGCCUUGCCCAGCCACACCCCCACGGGUACUCAGCAGUAAUUAGUCUUAAGCAAUGAGUGAAAACUUGACUUAGUUAUAGCAGCACUUAGGGUUGGUAAAUCUUGUGCCAGCCACCGCGGUCACACAAGGGACCCAAAUUAACUGUAGCACGGCGUAAAGAGUGGUACUAUGUUAUCUCAGCAAACUAAGAUCAAAAUGCAACCAAGCUGUCAUAAGCUUAGAGUGCACCUAAAGCCACCAUCAAGAUGAUCCUAGCGCCCACGAUUAAUUGAACCCCACGAAAGCUAGGACCCAAACUGGGAUUAGAUACCCCACUAUGCCUAGCCCUAAAUCUUGAUACCUAUCCUACUAAAGUAUCCGCCCGAGGACUACGAGCACAAACGCUUAAAACUCUAAGGACUUGGCGGUGUUCCAAACCCACCUAGAGGAGCCUGUUCUAUAAUCGAUAACCCACGAUACACCCGACCGCUCUUUGCCAAAGCAGCCUACAUACCGCCGUCGCCAGCUCACCUCAUCUGAGAGCACAACAGUGAGCGUAAUAGCCUCAAACCCCGCUAGUAAGACAGGUCAAGGUAUAGCCUAUGGAGCGGAAGAAAUGGGCUACAUUUUCUAACGUAGAAGACCCUUACGGAAAGGGGUGUGAAAUCACCCCUAAAAGGCGGAUUUAGCAGUAAAGCGGGACAAUAGUGCCCCCUUUAAGUCGGCCCUGGAGCACGUACAUACCGCCCGUCACCCUCCUCAUAAGCUACAAACUCUAAUAGCUAAUAUCCCCUACAGCUAAAGACGAGGUAAGUCGUAACAAGGUAAGUGUACCGGAAGGUGCACUUAGUAUACC
rnacentral:ncRNA from 1 species